CGGACCUUUCUUCCCCGUAAAAGGGGAGGGAAAAAAGGGGGCGCGACAGUAGGAUGUUUUCGGUAUUUAACCAGAUUGGCCAAAGUCGAUUUCUCUCUUCAGCACCUUCUCAACUUAUUUGUUUCGAAGUCGUUCAAAGGCAGCUUAGUCUCGAUUGUCAGUCAUGCCAUAAGGACUCUCGUGGAUGCAAAAGAUGAUCACAAUAGGGGUUGGCGCGAUCAAUUUGUAGCGAUUCCCAUGUGGGAAUUGGUAUCUCUUGAAGAUGGACCAGUUCUAGAGAGAUGGAGUUAUGAUCAUAGAUCUUCCUGUUUCAAUUAUGACUAUUUUCGUUGUUCCCUUAUGUCGUUAUUCCUUUGUCGCAACUAUUCUAUGUGCUCCAACUGAAGUGCCCAGAUUUAGGAAUGGGUCGAGAAGAUUCUGUCCUCUUCUUCGAUGCUUGAGAGAACCUGGAGGCACAUAUCUGAGGUCUCAUGGAGGAGAGGUAAGAGUUAUGUUAAUUCAGGAGAGGAGACCCCCGUUCUUUUGUCCGUGGAGGCUAGGGAGGUGUGGUGGCAAAAGCUGCAGCAGACGUGAUUCCAAACAAGGGCUUGCCAAUAGGGCAGAUUGUUUUUUCCCAGGGAAGGGCUACAAUGCCUCUAAGCGAACAAGUAAUCCCGCCUAUCUGGAUAGUCCUCCCAUCGAAGAAGAGAGUUCUCGGGAAGGGUCUAAUGAGGCAUUUGUGGUUAGCUCGACCGUGACUGCCCUAUCGGUUUUGUGACUGAAACUGUUGAUAUACAUCUUAUCAGCUUUUGGGUGCCAAACGGGGUUGAAACAUUUAAGAAGAUGAGACACGUUACCACUUUCUCCCUCAGUUGGCAAGCCCCCAAGACUGGAAGCACAUGGAAUCACUACAUGCUGAAGCCUUAGUGACUCAAAUGGAUAUGAGACCACAAGGCUAGCAAUACUUACUUUGGGUGCACUAAAAGAUUUCGAGGGGAUGUUGCCAUACCCAAGGUGGUAGUAAAGUACGACCAAGCGCUGAAGGCUGAGAACGAGAAUCUCUAGAAGGCGAGGAGUCAUUCCUAAGAAGGACCGAGGUUACGGGAGAGAAGCGUCGAGAAAAGGAUAGCUAAGGUUUUGAAAGUUAAGGCAGCUCAACUGGCCGAGGACAACAAGGCCCAUGAUAUGCUUUAUGCUCUUUAAGCCGAUUUAGCGUUGAAGGCCAACAAGGAGGUCUGACAAAGGAAGAGUGUUCUUAUUUGUCAGCGGAGGUACAAGGACUGAGGUCGUAAUUGGCCCUGACGGAGGAGGUUGCCCGGGCCAAUAAUGCUAAUUGGGAGACCCUCCAAGUAGCCUUAGAGGACCUAUAGAGAGAUGUGGUUGUCAAACGGGCCUGGACCAUUAUGGAGACCCGCCUACACACUCUUCAUGAGGUGCGUACAAGUGCAAUAUUAAUUAGAGGUUCCUCACUUUGAAGAAGAAGCGAGUGAUCUCAGUCGACGACUCGGCCUUCCAUCUCUAGACAUGUAAGUGCCUUCUUCCGAAGAAGACGAAGGUGAGGAUUGUUUUAACGAAGUAGAGGAGGUAGCUCCUGCCCUCGAACCGUCAACUUUCUCUAGUGCUGUUGAUCUGAAUGCUCCUUCUACUUCUGGUGCGAAGGCUGAUGAUUAUCUGUAGGUUUGGGUCUUUGCACUUUUGUGCCCCUUUUUGUGUUCUUUAUUUAUGGCUCUUUGCGUA